GACGAAGGUGGCGACCGUUGUUCGGAAUCACUGGGCAUAAAGAGCACGUAGGCGGCAAGGUAUGUCGGGUGUGAAAUCCCUCGGCCUAACCGAGGAAUUGCGCCCGAAACUACCGUGCUUGAGGAUGGAAGGGGAGCGUGGAAUUCCUGGUGGAGCGGUGAAAUGCGUUGAUAUCAGGAGGAACACCGGCGGCGAGGCGACGCUCUGGUCCAUUACUGACGCUGAGGUGCGAAAGCCAGGGGAGCAAACGGG
rnacentral:rRNA from 1 species